GAAGUGAACCGGAUGGUUGCUCCGAUAUUUAUCGGAGAGGAAAGUCCGAACUCCACAGGGCGGAGUGUUCCGUGAAAACGGAAGGGGAGUAAUCCUACGGAAAGUGGCACAGAAACCAGGUACAGGUAAUGCUGUAGUGAAAAGGCUAAACCCCACUCGGAGCAAGACCGAAUAGCAGAGAAGAGACGGCCCGUCUCGCUACUACUCUACGGGUUGGUCGCUUAGAUAAAUAACCAUCGUUCCGAUUUGUAGUCGGAAUACAGGAUUCGGCUUACAGGUUCAUUUCAAGC
rnacentral:RNase_P_RNA from 1 species